CACGUAGGGUGCGAGCGUUGUCCGGAAUUAUUGGGCGUAAAGAGCUCGUAGGCGGUGUGUCACGUCGGCCGUGAAAACCUGCAGCUUAACUGUGGGCGUGCGGUCGAUACGGGCAUCACUGGAGUUCGGCAGGGGAGACUGGAAUUCCUGGUGUAGCGGUGAAAUGCGCAGAUAUCAGGAGGAACACCGGUGGCGAAGGCGGGUCUCUGGGCCGAUACUGACGCUGAGGAGCGAAAGCAUGGGUAGCGAACAGG
rnacentral:rRNA from 1 species